rnacentral:rRNA from 1 species
UUUCCGUAGGUGAACCUGCGGAAGGGAUCAUUGUCGAAUCCUGCAAAAGCAGACCGCGAACACGUUAAACCAUAUUGGGACCGCGGGUCUUGGGGGAGACCUUUUGCCCGCACUCAUCCCUCGCACGGCGCGCGUCCAGGCGCGCGUGGUGCGGGCUAACGAACCCCGGCGCGGCAUGCGUCAAGGAAAACUCAUAGAAGCGUUGGCCUCCCUUCGCCCCGUUCGCGGUGCGCGGUGGGUGAACUGAUGUCUCUCAAAUAUCAUAACGACUCUCGGCAACGGAUAUCUCGGCUCUCGCAUCGAUGAAGAACGUAGCGAAAUGCGAUACUUGGUGUGAAUUGCAGAAUCCCGUGAACCAUCGAGUCUUUGAACGCAAGUUGCGCCCGAAGCCAUUCGGCUGAGGGCACGUCUGCCUGGGCGUCACGCAUCGCGUCGCCUCCCACACCCACACCCCAAGGGGUGAUCCGGUGGUGGGGGCGGAAAUUGGCCCCCCGUGCGCUAGUCCGUGCGGCCGGCCUAAAUGCGAGCCCGUGGCGACUCACGUCACGACCAGUGGUGGUUGAACACUCAACUCGCGUGCUGACUGUCGUUCCUUUUGAGUUGGCAUACGGGCUUUGUUGCAGACCCUACGGCGCGAUCCUAUCGCGCCUUCGACCGCGACCCCAGGUCACGCGGGAUUACCCGCUGAGUUUAA